ensembl:lncRNA GALNT7-DT GALNT7 divergent transcript
GGCCCGCGCUGCGCCAGCACCACCUGCGGAGCUGCGGUGCCCACGCCGUGCCGCGACCCCGCCGCCCCUGCUCCCUCCACACGCGGGCAAACAAAACAAGUUGCCGGUCGCUGCCGCCGGAGGGGGCCGGGCGGGUCACUCACCCUCAUCCUGCUCAGCGGGCUUGGGUCGUCCGGCCGCGGGGUCAGGGAAGACCAGAGGACCACUAGCCCCAGGAAGCUUCCCACCACCAGCAAACUGCGUGGUGAAUUUGUAACCGAAAGGCCCAGGUGAGAUGUGCAAAUAUCACUGGAUUGGAGGAGCUCACUUGGAAAGCCAGUAUUCCUCCUGAGCUAAUGAAAAGAAAGGCUGUCGUCUUAUGCCAAAAGCAAUACCAACCUUGUUCACGGGCUGAGAUCUAGAGUGUGUAAUUCACGAAGUAUGAAUCUGCUGGGUAAUGUGAUAUGAAAAGCGAAUGCACCAUUUCUUGGUGAUGAUUCAGGUCAGCGUUGGGACCCAGGAAUCUCCUGUUAAUCAGUACCCUGGUGAUUUUGAUCCAGGUCAUCAAGACCAUGGCUUCCAUCGUAGGCAGUCACACUCUUUCUCUCUUGGAUCAUUUGCUGUGGGGAAGCAAACUGUCAUAUGAGAGGACACUCAAACAGCCUCUGGAGUCUCAUUUGCUAAGGAACUGAGGACUCCAGCCUGAGAACUCAGGCAAGUAACUGAGGCCUGCCAACAACCAUGGAGAAAGCCUGGAAGUGGAUCCUCCCUCAGCCUUCAGUCGAGACAACAGCUGCAAUGACAGCCAAGCCAGCGCCACCCAGCUUAGCCACCCCCAGAGAACUAACUCUCAGAAACCAUAGUGGGUACAGAGGAAAGGCCCUAUGAGGAUACAGCAAGAAGGCAGCCAUCUGCAAGUCAGGAAGAGACCUAUCAUCAGAAACCAACCAUGCUGGCACCUUGAUCUUGGACUUUGAGUCUCCAGAACUGUGAGAAAUAAAGUUGUUGUUUAAGCCACCUAGUCUCUGAUAUUCUGCUACAGCAGUUUGAGCAGAGUAAUAUAGUUGGCUAUCCAGUUAAACGCCCUAUCACCUACAGCCCCAUCCUCAUUGCCUACUUCCUUCUAGAGAGUGAGCUCCCAUAGAUCUGGCUAAGUGAGUAGCAAGGAAGCAAUGUAAUCUUGCGACCUGAGAACAGCCAUUUAUCCCAGCUGUUCACACUUGAUCUAAGUUUGUCCAACAGAUUCACUCUAGGGGGAAUUUAAAGCAGGGACUUAGAAAUUCUAGUUAGUUUCUGUGAGAUGCCUUAAAAGAGAAAGUAUUUGAAGCCUGGGCUGUGGAACCAUGUGCAUGAAUAUUUUUGGGGAGAAGAAAAAGAAUAA